UACAGAGGUGGCAAGCGUUGUUCGGAAUCACUGGGCAUAAAGCGCACGUAGGCGGCUAAGUAAGUCGGAUGUGAAAUACCUCGGCUCAACCGAGGAACUGCGUCCGAUACUGCUUGGCUUGAGGUCCGGAGGGGAGAGUGGAAUUCCCGGUGGAGCGGUGAAAUGCGUAGAUAUCGGGAGGAACAUCAGUGGCGAAGGCGGCCUUCUGGUCCAGUACUGACACUCAAGUGCGAAAGCGUGGGGAGCAAACAGG
rnacentral:rRNA from 1 species